AGCGGCAGGCUUAACACAUGCAAGUCGAGGGGCAGCGCGGAUGUAGCAAUACAUCUGGCGGCGACCGGCGGAAAGGGUGCGUAACGCGUGAGCAACAUUCCCGCAUCUGGGGGAUAAGCACUGGAAACGGUGUCUAAUACCCCAUAACAACAGGGGUCACAUGAACUUUGUUUGAAAGCUGCGACGGAUGCGGAUUGGCUCGCGUGACAUUAGCUAGUCGGCGGGGUAACGGCCCACCGAGGCGACGAUGUCUAGGGGUUCUGAGAGGAAGGUCCCCCACACUGGAACUGAGACACGGUCCAGACUCCUACGGGAGGCAGCAGUGAGGAAUAUUGGUCAAUGGGCGGAAGCCUGAACCAGCCAUGCCGCGUGAAGGAAUAAGGCCCUAUGGGUCGUAAACUUCUUUUGUGGUGGAGCAAUAAGGGCUACGCGUAGUCCGAUGAGAGUACAUCACGAAUAAGCAUCGGCUAACUCCGUGCCAGCAGCCGCGGUAAUACGGAGGAUGCAAGCGUUAUCCGGAUUUAUUGGGUUUAAAGGGUGCGUAGGCUGUGCCGCAAGUCGGGGGUGAAAGCCCGGGGCCCAACCCCGGAACUGCCCUUGAUACUGCGGCGCUGGAGUUCGGAUGCCGUGGGAGGAAUGAGUAGUGUAGCGGUGAAAUGCAUAGAUAUUACUCAGAACACCGAUUGCGAAGGCAUCUCACGAAUCCGACACUGACGCUGAGGCACGAAAGCGUGGGGAUCAAACAGGAUUAGAUACCCUGGUAGUCCACGCAGUAAACGAUGAUGACUAACUGUCGGCGAUAAACAGUCGGUGGCCAAGCGAAAGCGAUAAGUCAUCCACCUGGGGAGUACGUUCGCAAGAAUGAAACUCAAAGGAAUUGACGGGGGCCCGCACAAGCGGAGGAACAUGUGGUUUAAUUCGAUGAUACGCGAGGAACCUUACCCGGGCUCGAACGGCUAGUGAACGACCCAGAGAUGGAA
rnacentral:rRNA from 1 species